AUGACUGAGUGGAGGACAACCAAAGCAAAUGAAAGGAGGAGGAGUGGGGGAGAUGGAGGACAGGAUAGAAAGAGUGAAAGGAGAGGGGACGAGAGAAAGCCAGAAGAGGAGUUAGAAAGAUCAGCCUUGUUCCCUGGCAGUGUCUCGGGGAGAGGAGAGAGAGAUCAGCCUUGUUCCCUGGCAGUGUCUCGGGAGAGGAGAGAGAGAGCAGCCUUGUUCCCUGGCAGUGUCUCGGGGAGAGGAGAGAGAGAAAGAUCAGCCUUGUUCCCUGGCAGUGUCUCAGGGAGAGGAGAGAGAAAAAGAUCAGCCUUGUUCCCUGGCAGUGUCUCGGGGAGAGGAGAGAGAAAAAGAUCAGCCUUGUUCCCUGGCUGUGUCUCGGGGAGAGGGGAGAGAAAAAGAUCAGCCUUGUUCCCUGGCAGUGUCUCGGGGAGAGGAGAGAGAAAAAGAUCAGCCUUGUUCCCUGGCAGUGUCUCGGGGAGAGGAGAGAGAGAAAGAUCAGCCUUGUUCCCUGGCAGUGUCUCAGGGAGAGGAGAGAGAAAAAGAUCAGCCUUGUUCCCUGGCAGUGUCUCAGGGAGAGGAGAAAGAUCAGCCUUGUUCCCUGGCAGUGUCUCAGGGAGAGGAGAGAGAAAAAGAUCAGCCUUGUUCCCUUGCAGUGUCUCGGGGAGAGGAGAGAGAAAAAGAUCAGCCUUGUUCCCUGGCUGUGUCUCGGGGAGAGGAGAGAGAAAAAGAUCAGCCUUGUUCCCUGGCAGUGUCUCGGGGAGAGGAGAGAGAAAAAGAUCAGCCUUGUUCCCUGGCAGUGUCUCGGGAGAGGAGAGAGAAAAAGAUCAGCCUUGUUCCCUGGCAGUGUCUCGGGGAGAGGAGAGAGAAAAAGAUCAGCCUUGUUCCCUGGCAGUGUCUCGGGGAGAGGAGAGAGAAAAAGAUCAGCCUUGUUCCCUGGCAGUGUCUCGGGAGAGGAGAGAGAAAAAGAUCAGCCUUGUUCCCUGGCUGUGUCUCGGGGAGAGGAGAGAGAAAAAGAUCAGCCUUGUUCCCUGGCAGUGUCUCGGGAGAGGAGAGAGAAAAAGAUCAGCCUUGUUCCCUGGCAGUGUCUCGGGAGAGGAGAGAGAAAAAGAUCAGCCUUGUUCCCUGCCAGUGUCUCGGGGAGAGAAAAAGAUCAGCCUUGUUCCCUGGCUGUGUCUCGUGGAGAGGAGAGAGAAAAAGAUCAGCCUUGUUCCCUGGCUGUGUCUCGGGGAGAGGAGAGAGAAAAAGUUCAGCCUUGUUCCCUGGCUGUGUCUCGGGGAGAGAGAGCUGCCAUGUUCCCUGGCUGUGUAUUGGGGAGAGGAGAGAGAGAGCAGCCUUGUUCCCUGGCAGUGUCUCAUGGAGAGGAGAGAGAGAGCAGCCUUGUUCCCUGGCAGUGUCUCGGGGAGAGAGAGCAGCCUUGUUCCCUGGCAGUGUCUCAUGGAGAGGAGAGAAAGAUCAGCCUUGUUCCCUGGCAGUGUAUCGGGGAGAGGAGAGAGAGAUCAGCCUUGUUCCCUGGCAGUGUAUCGGGGAGAGGAGAGAGAGAGCAGCCUUGUUCCCUGGCAGUGUCUCGUGGGGCCGUAG
ensembl:lncRNA